rnacentral:rRNA from 1 species
GACGAACGCUGGCGGCGUGCUUAACACAUGCAAGUCGAACGGAAAGGCCCUGCUUUUGUGGGGUGCUCGAGUGGCGAACGGGUGAGUAACACGUGAGUAACCUGCCCUUGACUUUGGGAUAACUUCAGGAAACUGGGGCUAAUACCGGAUAGGAGCUCCUGCUGCAUGGUGGGGGUUGGAAAGUUUCGGCGGUUGGGGAUGGACUCGCGGCUUAUCAGCUUGUUGGUGGGGUAGUGGCUUACCAAGGCUUUGACGGGUAGCCGGCCUGAGAGGGUGACCGGCCACAAUGGGACUGAGAUACGGACCAGACUCCUACGGGAGGCAGCAGGGGGGAAUAUUGCACAAUGGGCGGAAGCCUGAUGCAGCAACGCCGCGUGCGGGAUGACGGCCUUCGGGUUGUAAACCGCUUUCGCCUGUGACGAAGCGUGAGUGACGGUAAUGGGUAAAGAAGCACCGGCUAAUUACGUG